rnacentral:rRNA from 1 species
AUUGAACGCUGGCGGCAUGCCUUACACAUGCAAGUCGAACGGCAGCGGACCUUCGGGUGCCGGCGAGUGGCGAACGGGUGAGUAAUAUAUCGGAACGUACCUUUCAGUGGGGGAUAACGUAGCGAAAGUUACGCUAAUACCGCAUAUUCUGUGAGCAGGAAAGCAGGGGAUCGCAAGACCUUGCGCUGAUUGAGCGGCCGAUAUCAGAUUAGCUAGUUGGUGAGGUAAAGGCUCACUAAGGCGACGAUCUGUAGCGGGUCUGAGAGGAUGAUCCGCCACACUGGAACUGAGACACGGUCCAGACUCCUACGGGAGGCAGCAGUGGGGAAUUUUGGACAAUGGGCGCAAGCCUGAUCCAGCCAUGCCGCGUGAGUGAAGAAGGCCU